CACGAAGUACUCCCAUUGGAGUAUCAGCUUGGGUGCUGAUGGUGGGGCAUACAUCCUUCUUCCUGA
rnacentral:tRNA from 1 species